AGAGGAGAGUGGAAUUCCACGUGUAGCGGUGAAAUGCUAAGAGAUGUGGAGGAACACCAGUGGCGAAGGCGACUCUCUGGUCUGUAACUGACGCUGAGGAGCGAAAGCGUGGGGAGCGAACAGGAUUAGAUACCCUGGUAGUCCACGCCGUAAACGAUGAGUGCUAAGUGUUAGGGGGUUUCCGCCCCUUAGUGCUGCAGCUAACGCAUUAAGCACUCCGCCUGGGGAGUACGGUCGCAAGACUGAAACUCAAAGGAAUUGACGGGGGCCCGCACAAGCGGUGGAGCAUGUGGUUUAAUUCGAAGCAACGCGAAGAACCUUACCAGGUCUUGACAUCCUCUGACAACCCUAGAGAUAGGGCUUUCCCUUCGGGGACAGAGUGACAGGUGGUGCAUGGUUGUCGUCAGCUCGUGUCGUGAGAUGUUGGGUUAAGUCCCGCAACGAGCGCAACCCUUGAUCUUAGUUGCCAGCAUUCAGUUGGGCACUCUAAGGUGACUGCCGGUGACAAACCGGAGGAAGGUGGGGAUGACGUCAAAUCAUCAUGCCCCUUAUGACCUGGGCUACACACGUGCUACAAUGGACAGAACAAAGGGCUGCAAGACCGCAAGGUUUAGCCAAUCCCAUAAAUCUGUUCUCAGUUCGGAUCGCAGUCUGCAACUCGACUGCGUGAAGCUGGAAUCGCUAGUAAUCGCGGAUCAGCA
rnacentral:rRNA from 1 species